rnacentral:rRNA from 1 species
AUGGAGACCUGUAUGAAUGGCAUAACGAGGGCUUAACUGUCUCCCCUUUCAAGUCAAUGAAAUUGAUCUCCCCGUGCAGAAGCGGGGAUAACCACAUAAGACGAGAAGACCCUAUGGAGCUUUAGACACCAAAGCAGAUCAUGUUUAACGCCCCUAAACAAAGGACAAAACCAGAUGAACCCUGCCCUAAUGUC